rnacentral:rRNA from 1 species
AUUGAACGCUGGCGGCAGGCCUAACACAUGCAAGUCGAACGAGUGGCGGACGGGUGAGUAAUGUCUGGGAAACUGCCUGAUGGAGGGGGAUAACUACUGGAAACGGUCGCUAAUACCGCAUACCAUCGGAUGUGCCCAGAUGGGAUUAGCUAGUAGGUGGGGUAAAGGCUCACCUAGGCGAAGAUCCAUAGCUUGUCUGAGAGGAUGACCACCCACCCUGGAACUGAGAAACGGUCCAGACUCCUACGGGAGGCAGGAGUGGGGAAUAUUCCACAAUGGGCGCAAGCCUGAUGCAGCCAUGCCGCGUGUAUGAAGAAGGCCUUCGGGUUUUAAAGUACUUUCAGCGGGGAGGCGUUACCCGCAGAAGAAGCACCGGCUAACUCCGUGCCAGCAGCCGCGGUAAUUC